AAACAGACAUGCUGAAGGAGGCCUAUCUGAACCUGCUCUCUCUGCGCCUGGAACUCCAGCAUGAACAGAGCACUCCGGAGGAAGGAGCUUUCCAAACGAAUCUGGUUAAUAAAGAGAAAGACCUCAGUCUGCUCUAUGGAGCACAAAAUGUUUGUUAUUGUACACAGCUCCAGUGCUCUGCCCUCACGCAAUAAAGAUCUGCUGGUGUAUGUAGCACACAUUAUCCUGGAGGAAGAGAAGAGGCAGGGAGAGCCAGGAGCGAUGCAGGGAUGGAGGGAAGCAUGGAGGGAUGCAGUACUAAACGGGGUUCAAGAUACACUGAAGAAAGUUCAUCUGGACAGCCAUGAGCAGAACGCUUCCUGGCUGGCAGUGCAUCUGGGGCUUCUGGGUAAAGCUGUGGAGGAGGAUUUAGAGAGAGUGAAGACUGAACAUCAGACUUUAUUGUGUUUGAAACCUAUGUGUCCUGCUAUCACGAGGCUGUAGGAGAGCAUCUAAAGAGACUUCUGGAAAAGGUGAUAGAGUGAAAGAUUACUAUGCUCUUCUAGAGUUCAUUAUUCAUCGCUACCCCAUUGAUCUGAGAGUCCAUGAGAGUGCCCUUAUAAUGGCAGAGGACCGGAACAAAAUAAAAACUUCUUACUGUGAUUGCUAAAUGGGACCAUCCUUAAAAUGGCUUUAUCCACUGGGAGAUUACCUUAGCAACAUUAUUGGAAUGGAAAAUGAGAAAAAUAUAAAAGAUCUGCACUGGUUAGUAAUUACCCAGACAUCAGGUAAGUGUUAAAGGAACUUUGAAUAUAUUGCUAUUUUUACAACAAUACAUGUUUUGUACACUUAACUAUUACAUGUAGUAUAGUUAUCAUGUAUUUAACUUUUCA